rnacentral:rRNA from 1 species
GUGCCAGCAGCCGCGGUAAUACGGGGGGGGCAAGCGUUGUUCGGAAUUACUGGGCGUAAAGGGUCUGUAGGUGGCUCGCUAAGUCAGACGUGAAAUCCCUCAGCUUAACUGAGGAACUGCGUCUGAGACUGAUGAGCUCGAGUGCAGGAGAGGAAUGCGGAAUUCCAGGUGUAGCGGUGAAAUGCGUAGAUAUCUGGAGGAACACCGGUGGCGAAGGCGGCAUUCUGGACUGCAACUGACACUGAGAGACGAAAGCCAGGGGAGCAAACGGGAUUAGAUACCCCAGUAGUCC